CCAUAGCCUCAGAUCCAGCCAUUACAGACCAAAUGAGCUCUUACAUCUUCAAGCAACUGUGGUGGAAGUGCUGAAUUCCCACAAGUUUUGUGAAAGUUGGUGAUCAGGGAGUAGAGCUGAAGAAAGCAUGUAAAGUAGCUUUCACUUCACAUGACAACAGAAAGUCUUCAUUGGAAAAUUUCUCCUUCACGAUGAGAAAGCUGCAACUGGACAAUUCCAGCAUCACUAAGGACUCUCCCCUGUGUGGCUUCUCUGGCUUCCUACAAAAGGGCUUUGUACAAUUCAGUAAAAAGGAAACUAAUCAUGAGAGAAAAAUCCAAUAGAAACCAA